rnacentral:rRNA from 1 species
UAUGAACACCUAAAUACCCCAAAUGCACAUAAUCUUGCCUGAUCUUGGAAGCUAAGCAGGGCUGGCUUUGGUUAGUACUUGGAUGGGAGACCACCAAUAAAUGCCAAGUCCUGAUUAAGC